UCAUAAUCACAUUUAAUGGAUUCCAGAUGGAGAAGUAUAAUUGUUCUCAUUAUCAUUGUGAAAACUCCAAGGAAAUACAAUCCCAAGAUACUUUACCUUGACAAGCAACCAGAGACAACAUCGACAUCAAGUCACAGGAUUUGUAGAUAUUGAGAGCACCUCUGAGGAUGGGCAUCCUCAUUUACCAUGAGCUGGAGCAUUCCCCCACUGAGGUGGGCCUCUAGGUUGGCAUAUGCCCAGAGAAACAAGUCACUAUGAAGCAGCGCAAGCAGAGAUGAUGUGUGGUUUUUUGACUCUGCAAACAAAAACAUACCAUGCAUCCAGCAUCUUCAGGCACUGCUGUCCCCGCAGAGCUCCCAAACAGACAACGAGAGCAGAAUCUGAGCUUGGCUUGACCUUAGUGACUUCUAGUGGCUCCUGAUCUGCAAAGGAAACCCAGUGCCUUGUAUUCACAUCACAAGAAUAUAAACCAAAAAGUGUGGAGACAUGAGUGCCCCCAGUACGGAUCUCACCUGUGGAGCAUGGAGACCUCUUCUGCAGUUCCCUGGAGUGGAGGAAGGUAGGAACGGAAUGUUUUCCUGAAUGUGUCUACAUCCCUCUAUAGUCAUCCAUACCUGGAGCCAGAACCCUGAAGGGAGCUGUACUGAAUCGCCAAGCUGGAACCUUCUUUUCUUUUGGCAUUUUAAAACCUAAGCAGGCUUCCUAAAGGAGGCAUGUAUGGUUUCACACAAUGCUCCAGCAGCAAUGGCCAGAGAGCUCUGGUCUGCGAGGCAAAGCAUGUGUGCUCACCACAUUGUCUUUCAUGGUCUUCUUGUGGAAUCAGGUCAGUUAUAUUUUCAUAGCCUAAUUUAGCCUUGCAAAGGUGAGCCACGUGUAAUAGAUGCUGUUCAUCUUUUUGCCAGCUUCAAACUGGGCCAUUAUUUAUGAUGUUAGACUCUUAACAAACUUAUUUGUAAGUAUCUCCAAAGAAUGUGAAGCUUUCAUGGGAGAUAGGGAAAACGCUUGGAUGAGAACCAGGUUGUUUUGCUGCUUCUCUCUUUCUUUUCUAAUAUGAGAAGAUCAGAAAACUUAUUGAUUUAUUACGUACUCAUUAAGCAAAGACUGAGUUGCUGGAGAGACAGGAGAAGGACAGUCAUUUUGUGAAACCUCUCUGAGGAUGAUGAAUGUCAAGCACUUGACUGAGCCCAGAUCUGUCGUUUUGUUCUCCCUUGGAUGUUGUUGUUUUCUGAUACAUUUACAGCCAUAGUGGAAUUUGAUGUUUUCACAACUGUGAAUUUUGAGCCUGAGUUAGGGAAGUAGGCAUGGAUAGGACUGUCAACUUCUCCCCUUCAUGCAAAAUUAUCCUGUAGGGAGAGGGAAUGCUUAAGCUCUCUGAGUGGUGGGUUGCAUGAGCUCUCAACGCAAGGAUCACAGCCGCAUAACUUAUCAGAUACUGUCUUGAUAAUAACACUUUUAUUCAAAUAUCCUCAUGCACUUAAAAUCAGUGUCUGAGCACAAUGGAGUUGAUAUUCUAUUUGUAUGAAUUUCCCUGCUGUUAAUGCAGGGAGAAUUUUGUUUUUCACUAAUUUGAAGAUAUGCUUCUACCCAGGACUGCAGCAACUGCAAGUCCUCUCAAGACUUCAUUGUGCAGAAUUCUAGCACCAGGCCAAAGCUAAUCUCUGAGGUGGAGUUUUUAUGAAAGAACGGUUUCCUAUCCAACAAGUGUGGUUUCAUCAGUAUGAAAUAUUUUACAGGAAUGUGUCAACUCUGAUGAUAUUUUCAAAGAUAAGAAGUUGAAACAAAUAAUUGUGAUACUAUAAUUUUAUUCUAGUAAUGCUGAAACAUUUUGUUACAGUAAGGCACA